rnacentral:tRNA from 1 species
GCGGAAGUGGCGGAAUUGGUAGACGCACUGGAUUUAGGUUCCAGCGCCGCAAGGUGUGGGGGUUCGAGUCCCCCCUUCCGCACCA